UACAGAGGUCUCAAGCGUUAAUCGGAAUCACUGGGCUUAAAGGGUGCGUAGGCGGCGCCGCAAGUGCUUUGUGAAAUCCCAUGGCUCAACCAUGGAAUUGCUCGGCAGACUGCGGCGCUUGAGGUUGGUAGGGGUCGCCGGAACUCUAGGUGGAGCGGUGAAAUGCGUAGAUAUCUAGAGGAACGCCAAAGGUGAAGACAGGCGACUGGGCCAAUUCUGACGCUGAGGCACGAAAGCGUGGGGAGCAAACGGG
rnacentral:rRNA from 1 species